UAGAGUUUGAUCAUGGCUCAGAACGAACGUUAGCGGCGCGCCUAACACAUGCAAGUCGUGCGAGAAAGGGGAAACCCCGGUAAAGCGGCGCACGGGUGAGUAACACGUAGGUAACCUACCCCCAGGUGGUGGAUAACCUUCCGAAAGGAGGGCUAAUACAGCAUGAGACCACGAUUCCGCAAGGGAUUGAGGUCAAAGUCGGCCUCUUCAUGAAAGCUGGCGCCAGGGGAUUGACCUGCGGCCCAUCAGCUAGUUGGUAGGGUAACGGCCUACCAAGGCGAAGACGGGUAGCUGGUCUGAGAGGAUGAUCAGCCACACUGGAACUGAGACACGGUCCAGACUCCUACGGGAGGCAGCAGUGGGGAAUCUUGCGCAAUGGGCGAAAGCCUGACGCAGCGACGCCGCGUGAGUGAUGAAGGCCUUCGGGUUGUAAAGCUCUGUGGAGAGGGACGAAUAAGUCGUAGCUAACAUCUACGAUGAUGACGGUACCUCUUUAGCAAGCACCGGCUAACUCUGUGCCAGCAGCCGCGGUAAUGCCCAAUCGCC
rnacentral:rRNA from 1 species